rnacentral:lncRNA from 1 species
AGAGAUUCAAUGAAGCCGAGGAAAUCGCAAGCCGUAUCGUGGGGGCUAGGAAGCAAACCUCUUCCAUCACUUUUCUCGGCUGAUUUAUCGAAGAUGUAUCGUAAAUUUUUAUAGCUAAUGUACGCGAUUUCUACACUGUUGUUUUUGGGUCUUUUUGGUUGCGGGGAAAGCUAGUCGACUACACAAGCUUACUUAAGCUUAUUAAGCUUAUUUCUCCUCCAUCGUUGAACAACUUCUGAAACUUUCCACGACGUGCAAAUCGCCGUUGCACGGGCCACGCAACUAUGUCGACCGAACGUGGAAACGAUCGGCUAAUUACUGCUAAUUACAGUGCAGGCACCGCCUUGCUAUCGCGCCUAAUCAAAAUGCAACUCUGAAGUAUGGAUCCACAGUGUGAGGUCGAUUGCUGUAGAUUGUGUGGGCUUGAAUCUUUUUGGAUAAGCGAAGGUAACGAAAUAUUGUUGGGAAUUCGCAAAAAUUUUUGAGACAGUGGUCGGUGUGGAAAUUUUGGAGGGCGACGAACGCGCAGUGUGUGACACGUGUGGGCAGAGGGUUGGAAAUAUAUUAGAGGAGUGGGAAGGCUUAAUCCAGGAGCAGCUGCGAAGAAUUAAACACGCAAUUUUCCCGCUGAGUUAAACUAAAGGAGACAAAGGAACUGAAAGAGUUAUUUUGAGAAAGAUGCCGGGCCAUCGAAUACCGGGGCAAAUCGAAUACUAGCUAAAACAGCGCUCUGACCGCCAAUGAAGUGAGCUGUCAAACGUCAAGAACACUUUGCCAUAUCAAGCAGUUCACGUAAAGGAACUUGUGUGGAGAAUUACAUCCAGUGCAUACAUGUGUGCUGUUGCACAUGAACAAGUUUGCAUGCUCUUUUCUGUGUCUAUACAUAUUAUCUCAGUCAGGGGUGGAUUAACAGAUUGUGUAACUGACAGACUCUUGAUUGAUCAUGAUGUGGUACGCGUAUUUGCAAUUCAUUAUAACAUCAGGGCUUUUCCAGACUUGGUUUGUGUGUUGGAAAGAGAGCAGUGAACAUGAAAAUUAAGGAGGCUUCAUGCAACUAUGACAAGAAGGUGAAGACCUGGAAGGCAGCCAUAGAGCAAAAGAGGCAAAAUAUUGUUCAGCUGUAUGACUAUUUGAUGGAAUCCACCAGAGGUUGGAGUAACAAGUGGUCAAAAACCUUGUACCAACAUUAUUUACAUGGAGUCCAGUGGUCAUCCUAUUGUGGAGACUUCUGAGCCCUCAGACAUGGCAGGGCAAGAUUCAAUCCAGAUGAUUGUACAAGAUUCUAACCGGAUCCUGCAGGCAGCUCUCAGCUCUCACAGUGCCCACGGUUCUCAAUCUGGAGCAGCUACAUCAUGUGAGGAAAAAUAAUAACAUAAAGAAAUUUCCUACUUCAAAAUCACCCUUUUUUCAUCUUUUUCUUUUAUAUUUGGAAAUCGAUCUAUAGUCUCUAGCUAUGAUCUAUUGCUGUUGUCAUUCAGAAUGAAAUUCGAGUAACAAUUAUUUCAGGCAACCAUAAUAAUACUACCGCGUAAUGGUCAUUAGUAGAAUUCUACC